AGUGGCGGACGGGUGAGUAACGCGUGAGAAUCUGCCUUGGGGUCGGGGACAACCACUGGAAACGGUGGCUAAUACCGGAUAAGCCGAUUGGUGAAAGAUUUAUUGCCCGAAGAGGAGCUCGCGUCUGAUUAGCUAGUUGGUGAGGUAAGAGCUCACCAAGGCAGCGAUCAGUAGCUGGUCUGAGAGGACGAUCAGCCACACUGGGACUGAGACACGGCCCAGACUCCUACGGGAGGCAGCAGUGGGGAAUUUUCCGCAAUGGGCGAAAGCCUGACGGAGCAAGACCGCGUGAGGGAGGAAGGCUCUUGGGUUGUAAACCUCUUUUCUCAGGGAAGAAGCUCUGACGGUACCUGAGGAAUCAGCCUCGGCUAACUCCGUGCCAGCAGCCGCGGUAAUACGGAGGAGGCAAGCGUUAUCCGGAAUUAUUGGGCGUAAAGCGUCCGCAGGUGGCGAUUCAAGUCUGCUGUCAAAGCACGGGGCUUAACUCCGUAAAGGCAGUGGAAACUGAAUAGCUAGAGUGCCGUAGGGGUAGAGGGAAUUCCCGGUGUAGCGGUGAAAUUCGUAGAGAUCGGGAAGAACAUCGGUGGCGAAAGCGCUCUACUGGACGGCAACUGACACUCAGGGACGAAAGCUAGGGGAGCGAAUGGGAUUAGAUACCCC
rnacentral:rRNA from 1 species